CUCAGGAUGAACGCUGGCGGCGUGCUUAACACAUGCAAGUCGAACGAAGCACUUUAUUUGAUUUCCUUCGGGACUGAUUAUUUUGUGACUGAGUGGCGGACGGGUGAGUAACGCGUGGGUAACCUGCCUUGUACAGGGGGAUAACAGUCAGAAAUGACUGCUAAUACCGCAUAAGCGCACAGGACCGCAUGGUCCGGUGUGAAAAACUCCGGUGGUAUAAGAUGGACCCGCGUUGGAUUAGCUAGUUGGUGAGGUAACGGCCCACCAAGGCGACGAUCCAUAGCCGACCUGAGAGGGUGACCGGCCACAUUGGGACUGAGACACGGCCCAAACUCCUACGGGAGGCAGCAGUGGGGAAUAUUGCACAAUGGGCGAAAGCCUGAUGCAGCGACGCCGCGUGAGCGAAGAAGUAUUUCGGUAUGUAAAGCUCUAUCAGCAGGGAAGAUAAUGACGGUACCUGACUAAGAAGCACCGGCUAAAUACGUGCCAGCAGCCGCGGUAAUACGUAUGGUGCAAGCGUUAUCCGGAUUUACUGGGUGUAAAGGGAGCGCAGGCGGUGCGGCAAGUCUGAUGUGAAAGCCCGGGGCUCAACCCCGGUACUGCAUUGGAAACUGUCGUACUAGAGUGUCGGAGGGGUAAGCGGAAUUCCUAGUGUAGCGGUGAAAUGCGUAGAUAUUAGGAGGAACACCAGUGGCGAAGGCGGCUUACUGGACGGUAACUGACGCUGAGGCUCGAAAGCGUGGGGAGCAAACAGGAUUAGAUACCCUGGUAGUCCACGCCGUAAACG
rnacentral:rRNA from 1 species